UACGUAGGUCCCGAGCGUUGUCCGGAUUUAUUGGGCGUAAAGCGAGCGCAGGUGGUUUAUUAAGUCUGGUGUAAGAGGCAGUGGCUCAACCAUUGUAUGCAUUGGAAACUGGUAGACUUGAGUGCAGGAGAGGAGAGUGGAAUUCCAUGUGUAGCGGUGAAAUGCGUAGAUAUAUGGAGGAACACCGGUGGCGAAAGCGGCUCUCUGGCCUGUAACUGACACUGAGGCUCGAAAGCGUGGGGAGCAAACAGG
rnacentral:rRNA from 1 species